GUGCAUAUACACUGUUAAAAAUGGGUAGUUACAAUAGCACCCAAAGUGCUAUGCCAACACUCACCUAAUGGUGCUAUCACAACACUAAGAGUGCAGUCGUAACUGCUACGUGUUACUAGAACAAUAAAGGGUGCUAUUAUACACUUAAAAGUGCUUGUGGAACAUUUUAAACAGUGUUGUGCAUGCACUUACCUAGUUGUUAAAAUCAUAUUACUCUAACUAUACACCAGAUGGUGUUACUCAAAUAAGAAUUGUGUGAUUGUAGCACUAUACAUGGUGCAAUGUAAGCACCUCUACAAAUCACCUGCAUGCAAAUCAAGGCCAGUCUAUAAUGAUUCGUGUAGUUGCAUGUGUAAAUAAAUAGUUGCUUAUAUAGUAUAACAAACCCGUUCCAUUAAAAUAGUUGAAUCUGGUAUAAUUAUUAUACCUUUGUAUUCAAGCAUGCAAGUAGAUCAUAAUUAUAGUCACCUUAUUUAUUAUACUUAUUCAGUAUAAAUUCUAAUCACAUGCGUAAUUAUGUAUACAGGGGUGAAGCAGCACACUUGUACUGAUGACGGAACAAUCGGCCCUGUGAGGAACUUUCCAAGAAAAAAUUAGUGCACUUUUCAAGUGUACCGGCAAUAUUUUAGCUAUUCAGUAUUUAUAACUUAUGUGAUGAACCAGUACUAGUUAUCAUUAUUAGUUACUGUAAAACUAUGUGUUUGAAGUUGCAACAUCUAUUGAGGACUAGACUAUGUGCAUGUCACGCUAACGGACAAAUUAAUGCCCAACAAUAAUUAUUAACAAUUCAAUCGUCUGAAAAAUCAUACAUCCUGUAUUUAGCAAAGUAGCUGGCUUAUAGUGUGUUCUUUCUACUCGUACAGUUGCCCUGCAAAUUUAACUCUUACUUUGCUCCCACCCCUCCCCUCUUCCAUGCAAGGGCAUACACUGAUGAUAUGAUCAUAAUUAAUUGAUGAGCACAGACUCAAAUGCGUGGUGGGUAGCCAAGACUACAUAAACAAAACAAAAUCGUGGGUGGUAGACGUGCAGCACUGAUCUCACGUGAACCUUGUGAUAGACAGCUGCCUGCAUGAGAGUCUCUGCACACAGCUGCGUGCACCUUAACUGUACGAAGGCGCCAGGCCUACUCUAGCUCUGUACUGUGCUCUGGUACUACAUGGACUAAGUUGCUAGAUGUACUACACUGCAAGAUGGCACACUGCUUUGACUCGGAACUAUAGAGGUUCAUGGAGUCGAGCUAUUUAAACGAGGUUAAAGAAUAUGCGUCGCAAAUUGAGAUUCAAUAUCUGUCCAAAGAUAAACCACUGCUCUUUAAAAGGAAUAGUCCAAAAACAAAGCGUAACAAAGGUGCUAUCAGGAGUGAUAUGAUCGACCAGCAGUUACAGAUGUGCAUAUAUACUUACCUUCUAUCCACCACUGACCGAUUAUGUCUAUGAAAAGAUACCUAUAGAUUUACUUUUGAGGUAAAUUGGAAAGAAUUCGAACAAAGGAGAACAAUGUUAAGCUACAGGAGCUGGUCGAAGACUAUGCAGUCACUGGUGCAGUCACAAUCUAAUGUUCUGAAGAUAAUACUGUAAGAAGAAGGAUGCAGUACAAAUGAUAUUUGUCAAGCUGCUGCUCCACGUGGAUGACAUGCAACGUUCGUUCAAGGUAGAAAAAGUGCUAUUGAAUCUGGAUCAAUGAACUACUUCGUCAUCGUAGAGAAAGAAGUGUAUGAAGUAGAUUCAUUCUAUGAAACUCUUGUACUAUGUUUUUGACAUUUUAGUACCCACGUGCAUGUCAGCAUGGCACCCUUUUAUUUUUAUAUUUUUAAGGUCCCGAACUGCCUAGUGUAUUGUGGUCGUAGUUAUUAAACACUUUAUGAGGUUAUAGGUAUACAUAUCUUCAUACUUUUAUUGUAUGCUAUCGUGAUGCAUAUCAUUAUACACAUGCUAUAAUUAUGUUACGUCAUUUAAGUCAAGUGCAUGAGCUUAUCGAGAAGUGCAAUAAGCAUGCAUGCAAUAUUUUAUGCUUUGCAUGAAGAGUAGCAAUGACAACUGUACCUGUAGUAACAGCAGCACCCAUCCCCAGUGCUUUAAUAACACCUUGUAGGUGUAGUUGUAAAAGUUACACACAGUUUGGAGUUGCAGUAACUCCAAGAAAGUGCAAGUACAGCACAUUUUCAUGCUGUUACAACUCCAAAAUGAGUGUUUUAAUAACACUAAAAUCUGGUGCUGUAAUAACUCCAUAUAUGAGUGCCAUAUUUGGUACAAUGGUUUUACCCCACUUUUGGGUGUUACAAUAGCACCA